AUGGAGUGCGUGCGUGCCAUCUACUUGCACUGUCACAGGGGGGACGAGCAUAGUGCAAUACUCCAUGCCAACUUUUUGUUAAAUCUGAAACAACACUUGUCAUUUUGGGCGCCUAAUGACGUGCCAUUUUGCCAACCCAUGUACAAUGACUUGUGCAAGCUGCAUUGCCUCCCUUGUCCCGUGCUGGUCGAUGGAAGCCACACCCGGUUCCCUCUCUCCUGCAUCUUUCUGCCAGCAAAUGUUUCUCGGAGCUAUUUGCAGCAGUCUGUUGCCAUGCGUUUUGUCCCUCUCUAUCUUUUUUUCUGCCUCACGUUCUUUUUAUGCGGUCCUGUUUUCAGCCUGCUUUCAACAUUUGGAAGUUAA
rnacentral:rRNA from 1 species